rnacentral:rRNA from 1 species
CGUGCUUAACACAUGCAAGUCGAACGAUGAAGCCGGAGCUUGCUCCGGUGGAUUAGUGGCGAACGGGUGCGUAACGCGUGGGAAUCUGCCCUUGGGUUCGGAAUAACAGUUAGAAAUGACUGCUAAUACCGGAUGAUGUCGUAAGACCAAAGAUUUAUCGCCCAAGGAUGAGCCCGCGUAGGAUUAGCUAGUUGGUGAGGUAAAAGCUCACCAAGGCGACGAUCCUUAGCUGGUCUGAGAGGAUGAUCAGCCACACUGGGACUGAGACACGGCCCAGACUCCUACGGGAGGCAGCAGUGGGGAAUAUUGGACAAUGGGCGAAAGCCUGAUCCAGCAAUGCCGCGUGAGUGAUGAAGGCCUUAGGGUUGUAAAGCUCUUUUACCCGGGAUGAUAAUGACAGUACCGGGAGAAUAAGCUCCGGCUAACUUCGUGCCAGCCGCCGCAGUAA